GUGGGGAAUAUUGGACAAUGGGCGCAAGCCUGAUCCAGCCAUACCGCGUGGGUGAAGAAGGCCUUCGGGUUGUAAAGCCCUUUUGUUGGGAAAGAAAUCCUGUCGGUUAAUACCUGGCGGGGAUGACGGUACCCAAAGAAUAAGCACCGGCUAACUUCGUGCCAGCAGCCGCGGUAAUACGAAGGGUGCAAGCGUUACUCGGAAUUACUGGGCGUAAAGCGUGCGUAGGUGGUGGUUUAAGUCCGUUGUGAAAGCCCUGGGCUCAAACUGGGAAUUGCAGUGGAUACUGGAUCACUAGAGUGUGGUAGAGGGAUGCGGAAUUUCUGGUGUAGCAGUGAAAUGCGUAGAGAUCAGAAGGAACAUCCGUGGCGAAGGCGGCAUCCUGGGCCAACACUGACACUGAGGCACGAAAGCGUGGGGAGCAAACAGGAUUAGAAACCCUGGUAGUCC
rnacentral:rRNA from 1 species